rnacentral:rRNA from 1 species
CCUACGGGGGACAGCAGUGAGGAAUAUUGGUCAAUGGGCGCGAGCCUGAACCAGCCAAGUCGCGUGAGGGAAGACGGCCCUACGGGUUGUAAACCUCUUUUGCCGGGGAGCAACGGGCGCCACGUGUGGCGCCACUUAGAGUACCCGCAGAAAAAGCCUCGGCUAACUCCGUGCCAGCAGCCGCGGUAAUACGGAGGGUGCGAGCGUUAAUCGGAAUUACUGGGCGUAAAGCGCUCGUAGGCGGUAUGUCAAGUCAAGGGUGAAAUCCCCGCGCUCAACGUGGGAACUGCCUUUGAAACUGGCAAACUGGAGUGUGUGAGAGGAUAGUGGAAUUCGAGGUGUAGGAGUGAAAUCCGUAGAUAUCUGGAGGAACAUCAGUGGCGAAGGCGACUAGCUGGCACAUAACUGACGCUGAGGAGCGAAAGCGUGGGUAGCAAACAGGAUUAGAUACCCGGGUAGUC